UGUAAGAAUUUGCAUGUCCUGAGCAUUCGCCCACAGCAAGAAAGGGAGGAAAACCUCCAUCAUGCCCAGGGGAAGCGAAAGCAGUCAGAGGAAAUCCUCCUCUCAUGUCCAAGAGGCCACUCUGGGGAAGUGAAACCGGCAGUGAAUCAGGCUCGGAUGUGAAAGGAACCUCGCUGGUGACAGCCCGAGUGUCAGCAGCCCUUCCCCGGCUGGAAGCUCACUGGAGAGAUCCUCCCAAGGGUUGGCACAGUUUUUUGGGAACUCUGCAGUGAGAAGCGAGGAAGUGGUCUCAAAGUUUUCGAGAACAGUCUGGCUGCAUCACGAGUUUCUCAAAGAACCGCCCAGACAAGGGGCUGUGAAACCUGUAGGUCCAUCGGAAGAAGGCGGACCCGGGUUUUGAUCCCAGCUCUGUGACU